GUGCUCGCUUCGGCAGCAUGUGUACUAAAAUCAGAAUGAUACAGAGAAGAUGAGCAUGGCCCCUGUGCAAGGUUGACACACAAAUUUGUGAAGUGUUACGUAUUUUU